rnacentral:rRNA from 1 species
ACGCACGCUGGCGGCGUGCUUCACCCCUGCCAGUCGCACGGAAAGGCCCUGCUUUUGUGGGGUGCUCGGGUGGCGAACGGGUGAGUAUCACGUGAGUACCCUGCGCUUGUCUUUGGGAUCACUUCAGGAAACUGGGGCUAAUACCGGAUAGGAGCUCCUGCUGCGUGGGGGGGGUUGGAAAGUUUCGGCGGUUGGGGAUGGACGCGCGGCUUAUCAGCUUGUUGGUGGGGUAGCGGCUUACCGCGGCUUUGACGGGUAGCCGGCCUGGGAGGGUGACCAGCCACAAUGGGACUGAGAGACGGACCAGAGGCCAACGGGAGGCAGCAGUGGGGAAUAUUGCACAAUGGGGGGAAGCGUGAGGCAGCAACGCCGCGUGCGGGAUGACGGCCAUCGGGUGGGAAACCGCUGUCGCCUGUGACGAAGCGGGAGUGACGGUAAUGGGUAAAGAAGCACCGGCUAACUACGUG